UACGUAGGUCCCGAGCGUUGUCCGGAUUUAUUGGGCGUAAAGCGAGCGCAGGUGGUUUAUUAAGUCUGGUGUAAAGGCAGUGGCUCAACCAUUGUAUGCAUUGGAAACUGGUAGACUUGAGUGCAGGAGAGGAGAGUGGAAUUCCAUGUGUAGCGGUGAAAUGCGUAGAUAUAUGGAGGAACACCGGUGGCGAAAGCGGCUCUCUGGCCUGUAACUGACACUGAGGCUCGAAAGCGUGGGGAGCAAACAGG
rnacentral:rRNA from 1 species